GAUGAACGCUGGCGGCAUGCCUAACACAUGCAAGUCGGACGGGAAGAGGUGUUUCCUGUGGCGGACGGGUGAGUAACGCGUAAGAACCUGACCUGGGGAGGGGAACAACAACUGGAAACGGUUGCUAAUACACCGCAGGCUGAGGAGCAAAAGGUGGAAUCCGCCCGAGGGGGGGCUUGUGUCUGACUAGCUAGUUGGAGCGGAAAUAGCUUACCAAGGCGAUGAUCAGUAGCUGGUCCGAGAGGAUGAUCAGCCACACUGGGACGGAGACACGGAGCAGGGUCCUACGGGAGGUAGCAGUGGGGAAUUUGCCGCAAUGGGCGAAGGCCUAACGGAGCAAUGGCGCGGGGAGGUAGAGGGCCUACGGAUCGUGAACUUCUUUUCUCGGAGAAGAAACAAUGACGGUAUCUGAGGAAUAAGCAACGGCUAACUCUGUG
rnacentral:rRNA from 1 species